rnacentral:rRNA from 1 species
AGAGUUUGAUCAUGGCUCAGGACGAACGCUGGCGGCGUGCCUAACACAUGCAAGUCGAGCGGAGUUUGGCCGGUUUUAAUUUCGGUUAAAACCGGCCAAACUUAGCGGCGGACGGGUGAGUAACACGUAGGUAACCUGCCCAUGACACGGGGAUAGCUUCGGGAAACCGAAGGUAAUACCCGAUACCUUUACGCAUCCAAUGGUGUGUAAAGAAAGCGAUUUAGCGGUCAUGGAUGGGCCUGCGUCCCAUUAGCUAGUUGGUGAGAUAACAGCCCACCAAGGCAACGAUGGGUAGCCGGCCUGAGAGGGCGACCGGCCACACUGGAACUUAGAUACGGUCCAGACUCCUACGGGAGGCAGCAGUGGGGAAUUUUGCGCAAUGGGGGAAACCCUGACGCAGCGACGCCGCGUGAGCGAUGAAGGCCUUCGGGUCGUAAAGCUCAGUCAUUGGGGAUGAAAAGGACAGUACCCAAAGAGGAAGCCCCGGCUAACUACGUGCCAGCAGCCGCGGUAAUACGUAGGGGGCGAGCGUUGUCCGGAAUUACUGGGUGUAAAGGGCGUGUAGGCGGGGAUGCAAGUUACCGGUAAAAACCCGUGGCUCAACCACGGGCUUGCCGAUAAAACUGCAUCUCUUGAGUGUAGGAGAGGGAAGUGGAAUUCCCGGAGUAGCGGUGAAAUGCGUAGAUACCGGGAGGAACACCAGUGGCGAAGGCGGCUUCCUGGCCUAUCACUGACGCUGAGGCGCGAAAGCUAGGGGAGCGAACGGGAUUAGAUACCCCGGUAGUCCUAGCCGUAAACGAUGGUCACUAGGUGUGGGUGGUGGUCAAGCCAUCCGUGCCGGAACUAACGCAAUAAGUGACCCACCUGGGGAGUACGGCCGCAAGGUUGA